AUGCAAGUCGAACGGUGAUGCCCAGCUUGCUGGGUGGAUCAGUGGCGAACGGGUGAGUAACACGUGAGCAACCUGCCCUCCACUUCGGGAUAAGCCUUGGAAACGGGGUCUAAUACCGGAUAUGAGCGCCUGCCGCAUGGUGGGUGUUGGAAAGUUUUUCGGUGGGGGAUGGGCUCGCGGCCUAUCAGCUUGUUGGUGGGGUAAUGGCCUACCAAGGCGUCGACGGGUAGCCGGCCUGAGAGGGCGACCGGCCACACUGGGACUGAGACACGGCCCAGACUCCUACGGGAGGCAGCAGUGGGGAAUAUUGCACAAUGGGCGAAAGCCUGAUGCAGCGACGCCACGUGAGGGAUGACGGCCUUCGGGUUGUAAACCUCUUUCAGCAGGGAAGAAGCGCAAGUGACGGUACCUGCAGAAGAAGCGCCGGCUAACUACGUGCCAGCAGCCGCGGUAAUACGUAAGGGCGCAAGCGUUGUCCGGAAUUAUUGGGCGUAAAGAGCUCGUAGGCGGUCUGUCGCGUCUGGUGUGAAAUCCCAUGGCUCAACUAUGGGCUUGCAUCGGGUACGGGCAGACUAGAGUGCUGUAGGGGAGACUGGAAUUCCUGGUGUAGCGGUGGAAUGCGCAGAUAUCAGGAGGAACACCGAUGGCGAAGGCAGGUCUCUGGGCAGUUACUGACGCUGAGGAGCGAAAGCAUGGGGAGCGAACAGGAUUAGAUACCCUGGUAGUCCAUGCCGUAAACGUUGGGCACUAGGUGUGGGGCCAGUUCCACUGGUUCUGUGCCGCAGCUAACGCAUUAAGUGCCCCGCCUGGGGAGUACGGCCGCAAGGCUAAAACUCAAAGGAAUUGACGGGGGCCCGCACAAGCGGCGGAGCAUGCGGAUUAAUUCGAUGCAACGCGAAGAACCUUACCAAGGCUUGACAUGUACGAGAAAGCCCCAGAGAUGGGGUUCUCUUUGGACACUCGUACACAGGUGGUGCAUGGUUGUCGUCAGCUCGUGUCGUGAGAUGUUGGGUUAAGUCCCGCAACGAGCGCAACCCUUAUCCUAUGUUGCCAGCGGGUUAUGCCGGGGACUCAUGGGAGACUGCCGGGGUCAACUCGGAGGAAGGUGGGGAUGACGUCAAAUCAUCAUGCCCCUUAUGUCUUGGGCUUCACGCAUGCUACAAUGGCCGGUACAGAGGGCUGCGAUACCGUGAGGUGGAGCGAAUCCCAAAAAGCCGGUCUCAGUUCGGAUCGGGGUCUGCAACUCGACCCCGUGAAGUCGGAGUCGCUAGUAAUCGCAGAUCAGCAACGCUGCGGUGAAUACGUUCCCGGGCCUUGUACACACCGCCCGUCAAGUCACGAAAGUUGGUAACACCCGAAGCUCACGGCCCAACCCCUUGUGGGAGGGAGUGGUCGAAGGUGGGACUGGCGAUUGGGACUAAGUCGUAACAA
rnacentral:rRNA from 1 species